ACGUACACUCCUACGGGAGGCAGCAGUGGGGAAUAUUGGACAAUGGGCGCAAGCCUGAUCCAGCCAUGCCGCGUGAGUGAUGAAGGCCCUAGGGUUGUAAAGCUCUUUCACCGGUGAAGAUAAUGACGGUAAACGGAGAAGAAGCCCCGGCUAACUUCGUGCCAGCAGCCGCGGUAAUACGAAGGGGGCUAGCGUUGUUCGGCUUUACUGGGCGUAAAGCGCACGUAGGCGGACUAUUAAGUCAGGGGUGAAAUCCCGGGUCUCAACCCCGGAACUGCCUUUGAUACUGGUAGUCUUGAGUUCGAGAGAGGUGAGUGGAAUUCCGAGUGUAUAGGUGAAAUUCGUAGAUAUUCGGAGGAACACCAGUGGCGAAGGCGGCUCACUGGCUCGAUACUGACGCUGAGGUGCGAAAGCGUGGGGAGCAAACAGGAUUAGAAACCCCUGUAGUCCC
rnacentral:rRNA from 1 species